AGUCAUAUCACCUUGAAACACCAGUUCUCAUUUAAUCAUAGAUGUUAAGCAAUGUUGAGCUUGAUCAUUACUUGGAUGGGUGAUCACUGGGGAAUACCAGGUGAUGUAAG